CACCACUCAAGCCUGGCUUGGUGUUGGGCGACGGGAACCCCCCGCGCCCCCAUAUCGUCGGCUGGACGGUCUGAAUCUCAGCGUUGUGGCAACAGAAUCGCUUCGAGGAGGACCGGACGCGCCGUUAAACCUUUCUUAACA
rnacentral:misc_RNA from 1 species